rnacentral:rRNA from 1 species
GACGAACGCUGGCGGCGUGCUUAACACAUGCAAGUCGAACGGAAAGACCUUCAUUGCGUGGGGUGCUCGAGUGGCGAACGGGUGAGUAACACGAGUGCAACCUGAUCUAGAUUUUCGGAGAACUUCAGGAAACUGAGGCUACUACCGGAUAGCACCUGCUCUUCCGUGGUGGGGGUUGGAUAGUUUCGGCGGUUGGGGAUGGACUCGCGGCUUAUCAGCUUGUUGGUGGGGUAGUGGCUUACCAAGGCUGUGACCGGUAGGCGGCCUGAGAGGGUGACCGGCCACAUUGGGACUGAGAUACGGCCCAGACUCCUACGGGAGGCAGCAGUGGGGAAUAUUGCACAAUGGGCGGAAGCCUGAUGCAGCAACGCCGCGUGCGGGAUGACGGCCUUCGGGUUGUAAACCGCUUUCGCCUGUGACGAAGCGUGAGUGACGGUAAUGGGUAAAGAAGCACCGGCUAACUACGUG